rnacentral:rRNA from 1 species
CGCCUACGGGACGCAGCAGUGGGGAAUAUUGCACAAUGGGGGAAACCCUGAUGCAGCGACGCCGCGUGAGUGAAGAAGUAUUUCGGUAUGUAAAGCUCUAUCAGCAGGGAAGAUAAUGACGGUACCUGACUAAGAAGCUCCGGCUAAAUACGUGCCAGCAGCCGCGGUAAUACGUAUGGAGCAAGCGUUAUCCGGAUUUACUGGGUGUAAAGGGAGCGCAGACGGCAAGGCAAGUCUGAAGUGAAAGCCCAAGGCUCAACCAUGGGACUGCUUUGGAAACUGUAAAACUGGAGUGCAGGAGAGGA